UACAGAGGUCUCAAGCGUUGUUCGGAUUUAUUGGGCGUAAAGCGUGCGUAGGCGGCGGGGUAAGUGAGGUGUGAAAUCCCGGAGCUUAACUCCGGAACUGCACUUUAUACUGCCUUGCUCCAGGGCUGGAGAGGAGACUGGAAUUUACGGUGUAGCAGUGAAAUGCGUAGAGAUCGUAAGGAAGACCAGUGGCGAAGGCGAGUCUCUGGAAAGCUGCUGACGCUGAGGCACGAAGGCCAGGGGAGCAAACGGG
rnacentral:rRNA from 1 species